GGGUAACCUGCCCAAGAGAUCGGGAUAACACCUGGAAACAGAUGCUAAUACCGGAUAACAACAGAUGAUGCCUAUCAACUGUUUAAAAGAUGGUUCUGCUAUCACUCUUGGAUGGACCUGCGGUGCAUUAGCUAGUUGGUAGGGUAACGGCCUACCAAGGCGAUGAUGCAUAGCCGAGUUGAGAGACUGAUCGGCCACAUUGGGACUGAGACACGGCCCAAACUCCUACGGGAGGCAGCAGAG
rnacentral:rRNA from 1 species